GAGUUUGAUCUGGCUCAGAACGAACGCUGGCGGCAGGCCUAACACAUGCAAGUCGAGCGAAGGACUUCGGUCCUUAGCGGCGAACGGGUGAGUAACGCGUGGGAACGUGCCCAGAGGUACGGAAUAGCCCAGGGAAACUUGGAGUAAUACCGUAUACGCCCUACGGGGGAAAGAUUUAUCGCCUUUGGAUCGGCCCGCGUUGGAUUAGGUAGUUGGUGGGGUAAUGGCCUACCAAGCCGACGAUCCAUAGCUGGUUUGAGAGGAUGAUCAGCCACACUGGGACUGAGACACGGCCCAGACUCCUACGGGAGGCAGCAGUGGGGAAUCUUGGACAAUGGGGGAAACCCUGAUCCAGCCAUGCCGCGUGAGCGAUGAAGGCCUUAGGGUUGUAAAGCUCUUUCACCGGGGAAGAUAAUGACGGUACCCGGAGAAGAAGCCCCGGCUAACUCCGUGCCAGCAGCCGCGGUAAUACGGAGGGGGCUAGCGUUGUUCGGAAUUACUGGGCGUAAAGCGCACGUAGGCGGACUGGAAAGUUGGGGGUGAAAUCCCGGGGCUCAACCCCGGAACGGCCUCCAAAACUAUCAGUCUAGAGUUCGAGAGAGGUGAGUGGAAUUCCGAGUGUAGAGGUGAAAUUCGUAGAUAUUCGGAGGAACACCAGUGGCGAAGGCGGCUCACUGGCUCGAUACUGACGCUGAGGU
rnacentral:rRNA from 1 species